UACGUAGGGGGCGAGCGUUGUCCGGAAUUACUGGGCGUAAAGGGUGCGUAGGUGGCCUUUUAAGUUGGAUGUGAAAUACCCGGGCUUAACUUGGGGGGUGCAUCUAAUACUGGAGGGCUAGAGUGCAGGAGAGGAAAGCGGAAUUCCUAGUGUAGCGGUGAAAUGCGUAGAUAUUAGGAGGAACACCAGUGGCGAAGGCGGCUUUCUGGACUGUAACUGACACUGAGGCACGAAAGCGUGGGGAGCAAAC
rnacentral:rRNA from 1 species